AGAGUUUCAUUCUGGCUCAGGAUGAUCGCUGGCGGCGUGCCUAAUACAUGCAAGUCGAACGCACAGCGAAAGGUGCUUGCACCUUUCAAGUGAGUGGCGAACGGGUGAGUAACACGUGGAUAACCUACCUCAAGGUUGGGGAUAACAUUUGGAAACAGAUGCUAAUACCGAAUAAAACUUCGUAUCGCAUGAUACAAGGUUAAAAGGCGCUACGGCGUCACCUAGAGAUGGAUCCGCGGUGCAUUAGUUAGUUGGUGGGGUAAAGGCCUACCAAGACAAUGAUGCAUAGCCGAGUUGAGAGACUGAUCGGCCACAUUGGGACUGAGACACGGCCCAAACUCCUACGGGAGGCUGCAGUAGGGAAUCUUCCACAAUGGGCGAAAGCCUGAUGGAGCAACGCCGCGUGUGUGAUGAAGGCUUUCGGGUCGUAAAGCACUGUUGUAUGGGAAGAACAGCUAGAGUAGGGAAUGACUUUAGUUUGACGGUACCAUACCAGAAAGGGACGGCUAAAUACGUGCCAGCAGCCGCGGUAAUACGUAUGUCCCGAGCGUUAUCCGGAUUUAUUGGGCGUAAAGCGAGCGCAGACGGUUGAUUAAGUCUGAUGUGAAAGCCCGGAGCUCAACUCCGGAAAGGCAUUGGAAACUGGUCAACUUGAGUGCAGUAGAGGUAAGUGGAACUCCAUGUGUAGCGGUGGAAUGCGUAGAUAUAUGGAAGAACACCAGCGGCGAAGGCGGCUUACUGGACUGUAACUGACGUUGAGGCUCGAAAGUGUGGGUAGCAAUACAGGAUUAGAUACCCUGGUAGUCCACACCGUAAACGAUGA
rnacentral:rRNA from 1 species